GCCAUUUAAAUGUUAGACAAAUGCAUAAUUCUUGCUAUUAUAUAUUACAGACCUUGUUUAUUUACUGGCCGUUAUAAUCCCCUCUUGCUUAUUUCAUAUUAGCACAUUCUGUUUCUUCUUUUCACAUGCUUUUACUCUUGCUCUGGUUCUUUAAACAAUUGCAAAGGGGGAGGGAUCCCCAUGCUCAUGAAAACUCCACUUUGCAGAUGAGAGAUCUGCUGGGUCCUACUGUCUCUCUCUUUCCAGCAAUUUAAUAUCUCCCAGGCUCAGGUUUGCUUUUCUCUCUCAUGCCUGUGCAACACGGACAGCUGCGCCUAUCCUCAGCAGUCUCGACUGAAGAACAGUAAUUCACAUCCUCUUAUUAUUGCCAUGAGGAAUACACACAGGUUCUUUCUCUUUGUAGUGGUUUCUUUUUCUUUUAACGUUUUGCAGUUUAGAAGGUGUUCAAAGGGCACUCAGCUGUAGCUGCCAACUUUACUCCUUACUUCAUUCUGUGGAAAUCGAUCCAACACGUUUGUUGUCAUGUUCUCAAAGUGACCAGCUGUUGAAGGUGUAUGAAAUGCAAAAUAUCAUGGAAGGAAUUUGUCGUAGCAAAUGAGCUGUGGGAAACAACGUUGCAGCUGAAAGAGAGCAGUCAAUUGCCAGAAUAUGUAACUCAGCCCUAGGGAAGAGAAACACCAGUGGUACCGGCCCAUCACUUCCACAAGAAGAAAGGAGAGAAUUGUGGUUUGUUGCCAAAGAGGUGAUGUUAUAUGUAAUAGUUCAUUAACAGUAAUGAACAAGAAAAAACGGCUUUACUAUUGCAUGUUAUAAUGUGAGUUCCUUAAGAACAGCAGUGGAACAUCAAGGCUCUUCUGGAUGAGAACAAAUCACACUCUUUCCCUACCCAUUUGAAGCUGUCCCAGCAUGCACUGGAGUAACGGAUGAAAGGGCAGCAUGCUACCGAUUUUGAUGUAUGUUUUCAGUUUUCCAUUUUGGUGAAAUAGCAUAGGGCUUACAUUUGUUACUGUUGCUGCUGUGACUGCGUCUAAAGAGACAGACACAGGAAUGAACUGCUAACUCAGCUUUUUACCAUCUGCAUUAGAUAAUAAGGUCUUGUGAAACAUUUUGAAUGACUGUUACUCUUAUCAUAUACAUUUUUGUAGAAAUGGAUACCAUGACAUACAAAGUAAUAACUCAACAGUAAAUAAAAAUCUUU